GAUACUGAUGAGGAGGAUGACUUUGAUUGGGCGGCGGGAGAAUCGUCACGGAGCGACUGGGGAGAGAAGUACCCAACAUCGGUUGGGCUGUAUCAUGUAGAGCCUUCCGAGCAUGACAUUUCAAAAUUCUAUGUAGGCAUGGUAGGCUGUGGCGAGUGGCGACAAUGUUCUAGAGAAGAAGUGGUUCAAGCACUAUCAUCCGAGACUAGCUGUGGCGUCUGGCCAGGACCUGAAGGACGAGCUAACUCCUUGUGGCGAGCUGACACUGAAUCUGUGGACAUGCAUACAAAGGAUGCUAAGCAAGAAGGAUAAGAUCAUGUACAAGGGGUGGCUAGACAGAUUCAGAGGCUUCUUUGAUCCCCGUUUUGUGGGACGAUGAAGACAAGGACUGGGAGUACAUCUACAUGAUGAUGGACUGCGAAAAAAUGGGCUAUAGAAUCGACUGGCUUAAAAAGUUGAUGUUCCUGGUGAAUUUCAUGGAUUGCUGGUCGGUGUAUAUCCUGGAAAAGGAUAGGAAGAUUGUAAUGGUGCUUGAUCCAACUGAGAGUCCGAGACAUAUCCAGAAGAUGAGAUGAAGAUCAAGCACGAGCCGCUGGCAAAGAAGUUUCAGAAAAGGUUCUGCAACCUGUUCAAUGACAUGUAUGGUGCUGGAUUGGUAGAGAUGACUUGGUGAUCUUUUGUGUAUCCUUUGGAGGCGCAGCACGAGCCAUGCAGUAGGUCAUUGCACCUUCAUCAUUGCCUUAGCGGCAGCUCGGUCUGGGUGAUCAAAAACUGUGCCCUUUAAACUCAUACGGUGUGCCUCUGUUGUGGUUUGCAUGGAAGACAAGGGUGUCUAUGUUGUGCGCUACGUCCUGAACUUUACUGGUCUAUACCUACGAUCAACUUUGAGCGAGGUAAAAAAUGAGACACCGAGAAGUUAAUUGAACCUGAUAUGAUUGUAUCAUUGAUUGAAGUGAAUGGUUAGAAGAAAAUGUUGCUUCCCCGCAGGGCCAGAUUCAGCAGCUACGGAAGAAGAUUGCAUAUGAGGUGGCGAUCACGAGGGGUAACAAAAGAGAGCUUCUGGAUUUCAUGUGCGAGGAGAUAGCUGACUGAAGAUGGAGUGGUCGUACUUGCAGUCUGCGUACGUACAGCCCGGCAAGAUCUUUUGGUUGUGCGUCAAGUAUGUCGUUAGGCACUGGGGUUUAAGUUCUGGAGUCAUUUUGCGAUGCGAGCGAAAGAACUACUGCAGAUUAUUAGUUUGGACACCUAUGGUAAUGUGUUGUGUUUCAGGCAAUGGGCCUGCGUGAAUGUAGGAUUAAGUACGGAGAUGUGAUGACUUGUCUGUUUGUUUGCAAAUUGCUAUGUCAGAUGAAAUGAACUAAGUAUGGUCAUG